AUCUUCUUCGUUUGAGGUCCGAUUGAGGCGAUUCUUUCGGCCACAGAAUGGGGACGGAAAUCUCUACACAUCUACACCUAUAAAUCAAGGUUAUUGUGAGCUUGUGUUAAGGAUUUUGAUGGUGAUUCUUGGAGCUAGGACCAUUCGGUUUGAUGAACAAUCAAGACUCGGCGAGGCGAAUACCAACGGAACUUGGAACGUAAAGGACGUGGCAUCCCUUUGCUAUUAUCGAAGUUUAUGGAUAGCAAGCAUGUGUUUUUCAGGUACCUAGAUUCUGAACUUGGCUAGAAGUCCGUCUUUGACCGGAAGUCCCUUUGUCUAUGUACAGUCCCGACUUCCAUAAUUGCUGCAGUAGUGUAAUGUCUGACCAGUGUCGUAGCCUAGUACAUUAAUACGUUUUUCAUUGUUUACAGUUGUUGUCAGUGUGUUUAUGUUUAUUUUGGCUACGAUUGUCAUAUUUAUUCCACGGAAGUAAAUUCCCGUGAGGUGUAUGUAACACUAGUAUUAUAUGCCGGGUUAGUACGUACAAGGUACGGAAACGAUAGG